UUGUAAGGCCGCUCCCACAUCUGAUAAAACACGGAACAAGGAAAAAGUUGGAUAAGAAGACGAAGAAUCAUUAAAAAGGGCGACUGACAAGCCACCAUCCAACACCACAAAACUCAUCCUUCAAAAAUAAAAAAAGAAAACGAAAUCCUCAUAUCGGACGUCACUUUUUCAUGGCAGAGUUUUGUUUAACGAGCAACAUUCGUUGUCUUGUUUCCAGGUUAUUGUCGUGUUAUUAAACAGGGGGGAGGUUAAAGACAAAUUUGUCUUGUUUAAAAAAAUUCAAGAGAUUGAAAACGCAGAUGGUUUUCAUAGUUUUAAACGUCUUCUUUUAACGCUAUUGACUUUCAGACCUUCUGUCGACUCAUUUCAAACAAUGUUGCAGCCAUUUUGUGCGCUUGGCUAUUUGUUUUCAUUUGUUUAUUUUUUGAUUUUUUGAAAUAUAUAAAUAAAUAAAACAAACAAGUAAAAAGACCCUGAAGGAUCGUAACCCUGGCACUCGACCGGUUAACUUGCGUCUACACCUUUUCUUUGUAAAUUCAAAUCUCUGUGUGCAUAUCUCGUUUUGCAAAUAAAAAAAACACAGUUGCCGCCUGCUACUAUGUUACUAACCGUUCGCUAAAAGGUGUACACUACGAAUAUAUAUCUAUUUUUUGUGGAUCAAGGCGACAUCAUGUCGCAAAGUGGUUUUCUCUCAAACUCCAUCGAAAAAACUGCGCAAAACUUUAAAAAAUCCAGUCACGAAAUCAUUGAGCACAGGCAAUGCGAAAAUCGAAACUCAUCGAGUAAAACACACACACACACACAAGAAAAUAAAACUUUAAAAGCUAAAAAAAAAAAA